CAGCAGCCACGGUAAUACGUAGGUGGCAAGCGUUGUCCGGAAUUAUUGGGCGUAAAGGGCUCGCAGGCGGUUUCUUAAGUCUGAUGUGAAAGCCCCCGGCUCAACCGGGGAGGGUCAUUGGAAACUGGGAAACUUGAGUGCAGAAGAGGAGAGUGGAAUUCCACGUGUAGCGGUGAAAUGCGUAGAGAUGUGGAGGAACACCAGUGGCGAAGGCGACUCUCUGGUCUGUAACUGACGCUGAGGAGCGAAAGCGUGGGGAGCGAACAGGAUUAGAUACCCCCGUAGUCUCUGUCUCUUAUAU
rnacentral:rRNA from 1 species